rnacentral:ncRNA from 4 species
UUUAAAGGAAGGCAUGCUAAGAUCGCAACGUCCUGCUGCAACGCAUGCACUUGUAGGUCCUGUACU